CCCUUAGAUGUUCUGGGCUGCACGCGCGCUACACUGAAGCGUUCAACGAGUAUUCACCUUGCCCGGGAGGGUUGGGUAAUCUUUUUAAAACGCUUCGUGAUGGGGAUAGAUUAUUGCAAUUAUUAAUCUUCAACGAGGAAUUCCUAGUAAGCGCGAGUCAUCAUCUCGCGUUGAUUACGUCCCUGCCCUUUGUACACACCGCCCGUCGCACCUACCGAUUGAAUGGUCCGGUGAAGCCUCCGGAUUGCGCGGCUUCGGCUGCCGCGAGAAGUUGGCUAAACCUUACCAUUUAGAGGAAGGUGAAGUCGUAACA
rnacentral:rRNA from 1 species